rnacentral:rRNA from 1 species
UAUCCUACGGGGCGCAGCAGUGGGGAAUAUUGGGCAAUGGGCGCAAGCCUGACCCAGCAACGCCGCGUGAAGGAAGAAGGCUUUCGGGUUGUAAACUUCUUUUGACAGGGAAGAGUAGAAGACGGUACCUGUCGAAUAAGCCACGGCUAACUACGUGCCAGGAGCCGCGGUAAUACGUAGGUGGCAAGCGUUGUCCGGAUUUACUGGGCGUAAAGGGCGUGUAGCCGGGAUGACAAGUCAGAUGUGAAAUCAUGCGGCGUAACCGCA